CCAAUAGCGUAUAUUAAAGUUGUUGCAGUUAAAAAGCUCGUAGUUGAAUUUCGAGACCGGUUUAUUGGUCGUGCUUUUGUACGUACUGGUAUUAUUGGUUUCUCCUUUCUGACGAAUCUUAAUGCCAUUAAUUUGGUGUUUUGGGGAAUCAGGACUGUUACUUUGAAAAAAUUAGAGUGUUUAAAGCAGGCUCACGCUUGAAUACAUUAGCAUGGAAUAACGGAAUAGGACGUUUGAUUCUAUUUUGUUGGUUUCUAGGAUCGACGUAAUGAUUAAUAGGGAUAGUUGGGUGCAUUAGUAUUCAAUUGUCAGAGGUGAAAUUCUUGGAUUUAUUGAAGACUAACUACUGCGAAAGCAUUUGCCAAGGAUGUUUUCAUUAAUCAAGACCGAAAGUUAGGGGAUCGAAGACGAUCAGAUACCGUCGUAGUCUUAACCAUAAACUAUGCCGACUAGGGAUCGGAUGAUGUUAAUUUUUUAAUGACUCAUUCGGCGCCUUACG
rnacentral:rRNA from 1 species